GCACGGGUACCCAAGCGGCCAAAGGGAACGGGUUUAGGACCCGUUGGCUCAGUGCCUUCGCAGGUUCGAAUCCUGUCCCGUGCA
rnacentral:tRNA from 1 species